rnacentral:rRNA from 1 species
AUUGAACGCUGGCGGAAUGCUUUACACAUGCAAGUCGAGCGGCAGCGCGGCCUUCGGGCUGGCGGCGAGCGGCGAACGGGUGAGUAAUGCAUCGGAACAUGCCCAGUCGUGGGGGAUAACACUUCGAAAGAAGUGCUAAUACCGCAUACGUCCUGAGGGGGAAAGCGGGGGAUCGCAAGACCUCGCGCGAUUGGAGUGGCCGAUGUCAGAUUAGCUAGUUGGUGGGGUAAAGGCCUACCAAGGCGACGAUCUGUAGCUGGUCUGAGUGGAUGAUCAGCCACACUGGGACUGAGACACGGCCCAGACUCCUACGGGAGGCAGCAGUGGGGAAUUUUGGACAAUGGGGGCAACCCUGAUCCAGCCAUUCCGCGUGAGUGAAGAAGGCCUUCGGGUUGUAAAGCUCUUUCGGCAGGAACGAAACGGUGGGCUCUAACAUAGUCCGCUAAUGACGGUACCUGAAGAAGAAGCACCGGCUAACUACGUG